rnacentral:rRNA from 1 species
CACGUAGGGUGCGAGCGUUGUCCGGAAUUAUUGGGCGUAAAGAGCUCGUAGGCGGUGUGUCGCGUCGGCCGUGAAAACCUGCAGCUUAACUGUGGGCGUGCGGUCGAUACGGGCAUCACUGGAGUUCGGCAGGGGAGACUGGAAUUCCUGGUGUAGCGGUGAAAUGCGCAGAUAUCGGGAGGAACACCAGUGGCGAAGGCGGCACUCUGGGCCGGUACUGACGCUGAGGAGCGAAAGCGUGGGGAGCGAACAGG